AGGAGGAUAUCCAGGCUCUGGAUCGUCAUGACUGAUUAAAUCGCACCUUCCUUAGGUAGCGCCUCGGACGAAUACUACUGGGGGUAGAGCACUGUUUGGGCUAGGGGGUCAUCCCGACUUACCAACCCCAUGCAAACUCCGAAUACCAGUAAGUAAUAUCCGGGAGACACACGGCGGGUGCUAACGUCCGUCGUGAAGAGGGAAACAACCCAGACCGCCGGCUAAGGUCCCAAAGUUCUGGUUAAGUGGGAAACGAUGUGGGAAGGCUCAGACAGCUAGGAUGUUGGCUUAGAAGCAGCCAUCAUUUAAAGAAAGCGUAAUAGCUCACUAGUCGAGUCGGCCUGCGCGGAAGAUGUAACGGGGCUCAAACCAGGCACCGAAGCCGCGGAUUCACACUUAUGUGUGAGUGGUAGGGGAGCGUUCUGUAAGUCUGCGAAGGUGUAUCGAGAGGUAUGCUGGAGAUAUCAGAAGUGCGAAUGCUGACGUAAGUAACGAUAAAGGGGGUGAAAAGCCUCCUCGCCGGAAGACCAAGGGUUCCUGUCCAACGUUAAUCGGGGCAGGGUGAGUCGACCCCUAAGGCGAGGCCGAAAGGCGUAGUCGAUGGGAAGCAGGUUAAUAUUCCUGCACGACUUGUAAUUGCGAUGGGGGGACGGAGAAGGUAGGUGGGCCAGGCGACGGUUGUCCUGGUGAAAGUGCGUAGGUGGUGUUUCUAGGCAAAUCCGGAGACACAACACUGAGACACGAGACGAACACACUACGGUGUGGAAGCCAUUGAUGCCCUGCUUCCAGGAAAAGCCUCUAAGCUUCAGAUUACAAGUCAUCGUACCCCAAACCGACACAGGUGGUCGGGUAGAGAAUACCAAGGCGCUUGAGAGAACUCGGGUGAAGGAACUAGGCAAAAUAGAACCGUAACUUCGGGAGAAGGUUCGCUCCUGACAGUGAAGUCCCUUGCGGAUGGAGCAGUUGGGAGUCGCAGUGACCAGAUGGCUGGGACUGUUUAUCAAAAACACAGCACUCUGCAAACACGAAAGUGGACGUAUAGGGUGUGACACCUGCCCGGUGCCGGAAGGUUAAUUGAUGGGGUUAGCGCAAGCGAAGCUCUUGAUCGAAGCCCCGGUAAACGGCGGCCGUAACUAUAACGGUCCUAAGGUAGCGAAAUUCCUUGUCGGGUAAGUUCCGACCUGCACGAAUGGUGUAACCAUGGCCAUGCUGUCUCCACCCGAGACUCAGUGAAAUCGAAUUCGCCGUGAAGAUGCGGUGUACCCGCGGCUAGACGGAAAGACCCCGUGAACCUUUACUACAGCUUGGCACUGAACAUUGAACCUACAUGUGUAGGAUAGGUGGGAGGCUUUGAAGGCGUGACGCCAGUUGCGCUGGAGCCGUCCUUGAAAUACCACCCUUGUAUGUUUGAUGUUCUAACGCAGGGCCCUGAAUCGGGCUCGCGGACAGUGCCUGGUGGGUAGUUUGACUGGGGCGGUCUCCUCCCAAAGAGUAACGGAGGAGCACGAAGGUUGGCUAAUCCUGGUCGGACAUCAGGAGGUUAGUGCAAUGGCAUAAGCCAGCUUAACUGCGAGACGGACAGGUCGAGCAGGUACGAAAGUAGGUCAUAGUGAUCCGGUGGUUCUGAAUGGAAGGGCCAUCGCUCAACGGAUAAAAGGUACUCCGGGGAUAACAGGCUGAUACCGCCCAAGAGUUCAUAUCGACGGCGGUGUUUGGCACCUCGAUGUCGGCUCAUCACAUCCUGGGGCUGAAGUCGGUCCCAAGGGUAUGGCUGUUCGCCAUUUAAAGUGGUACGCGAGCUGGGUUCAGAACGUCGUGAGACAGUUCGGUCCCUAUCUGCCGUGGGCGUUGGAUGAUUGAAGGGAGUUGCUCCUAGUACGAGAGGACCGGAGUGAACGAACCUCUGGUGUUCGGGUUGUCACGCCAGUGGCACUGCCCGGUAGCUAAGUUCGGAAUCGAUAACCGCUGAAAGCAUCUAAGCGGGAAGCGAGCCCUGAGAUGAGUCAUCCCUGACCCCUUGAGGGUCCUAAAGGGCCGUUGGAGACCACAACGUUGAUAGGUGGGGUGUGUAAGCGCGGCGACGUGUUGAGCUAACCCAUACUAAUUACCCGUGAGGCUUAACCAU
rnacentral:rRNA from 1 species